AGAGGGAACGAGGGGUCCGACCUAGCCCGAAAGCGAGCUCUGGGGCUUUCUCCUGUCGUCCUGGCCACUACCUGAGUCUAGGUUGGGGCAACAGAACUACAGUUACGGAAGAAAAGUACACAUUAUUCCACUUCUUCCUUCCGCAACGCACCCUUUCCUGAGCUUUCUACCCCCCUGAACCUGCCCAGCUGGAUGCGACGUCCCAGGGGCUUAUGGUCAAGCUAGCUGGUCAGUCUGGCUGAUCCUAGGUGCUUGCCAGAUGUCGAAACCGCUGAUAGCCCUAGCACUCAACCCACGGUGCUGUUUCAUAAUGCAGUAAUUUUGAAAACAUUCUAAAUGAAAAUUUGGAAUCUGAAUUUAAGUCAAUGUGCAGCUAUAUAAUGUGUGACCCCAGUGCAAAAACAGAUCACAACUUGAAGCAAGGCUCUUCUUUUACUUAGACAGUCUGGACUGAGGCUCCUUAAAUGUUAAUUUGUAAAGAAAUCAUCACCAUGUACAUACAGUAGGACCUCUUGGACCAACAGCACCAACGGGACCAACAACACCAGCAGGACCCUGUGAGUUGAAAAAGAAAAACGUAACUGAUCAGCCAAGCCCAAAACUCUCCUCCCCAAGCCCCCAUAGUUCCCAAGUGUGGGGAGGUCACAAGGGAAGCCUACAAAGAUGGCAGCACAAAGGGACUGGUAUUU